GAUGAAGAACGCAGCGAAAUGCGAUACUUGGUGUGAAUUGCAGAAUCCCGUGAACCAUCGAGUCUUUGAAUGCAAGUUGCGCCCGAAGCCAUUAGGCCGAGGGCACGCCUGCCUGGGCGUCACACGUCGUUGCCCCCCCAUCUACUCCUUCGGGAUUGCGGGGGGCGGAUGAUGGCCUCCCGUGCGCCUCGUCGCGCGGUUGGCAUAAAUGCCAAGUCCUCGGCGACGCACGCCACGACAAUCGGUGGUUGCGAAACCUCGGUUGCCCGUCGUGUGCGGUCGUCGCGCAUCGAGGGCUCGAAAAAAUUGCCGAGUUCCGGCUCGGCUUUCAACGCGACCCCAGGUCAGGCGGGGUUACCCGCUGAAUUUAAGCAUAUCAAUAAGCGGAGGA
rnacentral:misc_RNA from 1 species